UACGGGGGGGGCAAGCGUUGUUCGGAAUUACUGGGCGUAAAGGGCUCGUAGGCGGCCAACUAAGUCAGACGUGAAAUCCCUCGGCUUAACCGGGGAACUGCGUCUGAUACUGGAUGGCUUGAGGUUGGGAGAGGGAUGCGGAAUUCCAGGUGUAGCGGUGAAAUGCGUAGAGAUCUGGAAGAACACCAAAGGCGAAGGCAGCAUCCUGGAUCGUUACUGACGCUCAUGUGCGAAAGCCAGGGGAGCGAACGGG
rnacentral:rRNA from 1 species